AGGAACAAGUAUUAUGUCUUUAAUAUAAUGCAUUUUGUGAAGUGAUGAUUCAACUAGCAAAGAAAUGACAUAGCUGCUGAUAUAAUCCUAAAUAGAUUAAAUACCAGGAGCAAGAGGAGAAUAAUCUCCCAGUAACUCAGAGAGAGAAUAUUCUGUGAAUAUUUGGAGACAGCACUAUAGCAUUUGAAAUAACAACAGCCUACUAAUUUCACAAUUAUACAAUGCAGAUGAUAUUAAUUAUUAAUAGACAACAUCUAUGGCUCAAAUCCGGAAGUUAUUGAUUGCCACAUAUUAUUGGAAUCUGUGAGGGCACCUGAUAGUAUCAGAUUACAGCCCCUGCCUAGCCACCAAAUUCUAUGCCACCAAAGACAAUUGGGAAACAGCAGUUCAAUUGACUACCAAUCAAGCUGCUCCUUUGCGUCAUAACCCACACUACAUUUCAAACCUCCAUGCAAAUAGGAGGUAUUGGAUUGAAGGAUACAACAUCCAAGAGUAAAAUACACCCAAAAGCGUAGCAAAAAGAUCAGAUGAUUUAUGUUACCUUCCUUUGCUUUAAUAGCUUGCUCCAUGGACUGAAAAACAUCUUUAAGCAAUGGCACUCCCAUUUGGUAGUUUAGAGAUUUACCAUAACCCUUCAAUAUAAACAGCUCCAAAUCAUCUGUCC
rnacentral:lncRNA from 1 species